UACGGAGGAUGCGAGCGUUAUCCGGAUUUAUUGGGUUUAAAGGGUGCGUAGGGGGAUCGUUAAGUCAGUGGUCAAAUUGAGGGGCUCAACCCCUUCCCGCCAUUGAAACUGGCGAUCUUGAGUGGAAGAGAAGUAUGCGGAAUGCGUAGUGUAGCGGUGAAAUGCAUAGAUAUCACGCAGAACCCCGAUUGCGAAGGCAGCAUACCGGCGCCCUACUGACGCUGAGGCACGAAAGCGUGGGUAUCGAACAGG
rnacentral:rRNA from 1 species